CACUGCCGAGAAAAGCCUCUAGAUAGAAAAUAGGUGCCCGUACCGCAAACCGACACAGGUAGUCAAGAUGAGAAUUCUAAGGUGAGCGAGCGAACUCUCGUUAAGGAACUCGGCAAAAUGACCCCGUAACUUCGGGAGAAGGGGUGCUCUUUAGGGUUAACGCCCAGAAGAGCCGCAGUGAAUAGGCCCAAGCGACUGUUUAUCAAAAACACAGGUCUCUGCUAAACCGUAAGGUGAUGUAUAGGGGCUGACGCCUGCCCGGUGCUGGAAGGUUAAGAGGAGUGGUUAGCUUCUGCGAAGCUACGAAUCGAAGCCCCAGUAAACGGCGGCCGUAACUAUAACGGUCCUAAGGUAGCGAAAUUCCUUGUCGGGUAAGUUCCGACCCGCACGAAAGGCGUAACGAUUUGGGCACUGUCUCAACGAGAGACUCGGUGAAAUCAUAGUACCUGUGAAGAUGCAGGUUACCCGCGACAGGACGGAAAGACCCCGUGGAGCUUUACUGUAGCCUGAUAUUGAAAUUCGGCACAGCUUGUACAGGAUAGGUAGGAGCCUUUGAAACGUGAGCGCUAGCUUACGUGGAGGCGCUGGUGGGAUACUACCCUAGCUGUGUUGGCUUUCUAACCCGCACCACUUAUCGUGGUGGGAGACAGUGUCAGGCG
rnacentral:rRNA from 1 species